rnacentral:rRNA from 1 species
GAUGAACGCUGGCGGCGUGCUUAACACAUGCAAGUCGAACGAUGAAGCCCAGCUUGCUGGGUCGAUUAGUGGCGAACGGGUGAGUAACACGUGAGUAACCUGCCCUUGACUCUGGGAUAAGCCUGGGAAACUGGGUCUAAUACUGGAUAUGACUUCUCAUCGCAUGGUGGGGGGUGGAAAGAUUUAUUGGUCUUGGAUGGACUCACGGCCUAUCAGCUUGUUGGUGGGGUAAUGGCUCACCAAGGCGACGACGGGUAGCCGGCCUGAGAGGGUGACCGGCCACACUGGGACUGAGACACGGCCCAGACUCCUACGGGAGGCAGCAGUGGGGAAUAUUGCACAAUGGGCGCAAGCCUGAUGCAGCGACGCCGCGUGAGGGAUGACGGCCUUCGGGUUGUAAACCUCUUUCAGUAGGGAAGAAGCGAGAGUGACGGUACCUGCAGAAGAAGCGCCGGCUAACUACGUG